GGGACAUGGGGACAGGGACACAGAUGAAGGAAGCCUUGGGGACAAGGAGACAGGAUAAGGAUGGAGGGCUUGGGGACAUGGGGACACAGGGAUGUGGGGAUAUGGGGACAUGGGGACAUGGGGACACGGGGACAUGGGGACACGGAGACGCUGAGACACAGGGACAUGAAGACACAGGAACAUGGGGACACAGGGACAUGAGGACACAGGGACAUGAGGACACGAAGACACAGGGACAUGAGGACACGGGGACACAUGGCUGCCCUGACCAGGUCCUGCAGCCGCUCCUCCUUGGGGACGUCCCCCUGUCCCUUCAGCCAGCGGAUGUAGUCCUCCUCCUCGCAGGCCUGGGGGUGGGGGGGUCACAGCGUCACCCCCCGUGUCCCCAAAGUGUCCCCACCGUGUCCCCCCUCCCCCUUCCUCACCUUCUCCUCUGCCGUCCGAUGGCGGCGCCGCAGCAGUGACCCCCCCCCUUCCUCCUCCUCCUCCUCCUCCUCAUCGCUCUCAGCCAC
rnacentral:lncRNA from 1 species